UUUGUGAACAUUUGUAUAAGUAAAAAGUAUCUUUUACUCACUAGUAGGAAAAAUAUCUCGCUUCAUGUACUUUCAUGAAGUGUUUAGUGCCUUAUGUUAUUUUAAUCUAGCGAGCAGCCGGAGGUUUAUUGUUUUAUAUUAAAUGAAAACCAGAUAUUUCUGGGCUAUUGGACUCCUAGGCUGCAAUUUUCCUCUCAAAUCUGUAUAAAGGUAAAACAAGGAAAAAAUAGUCUGGGAGGAAAAAACCAAAUUGGAUGCUGGACACAUACAGAUUCCAACUUUUACUAAGAGUACAUUGUUAGUCUAGCACAGUGCCAGGCGCUGGGGAUAAGGAGGGAGUUACAGAAAGUGGAAGCUAUCAAGGAGUUCACCCUCUAGGUGAUGAGAUAAAUAUGCCCAUAUGGAUGAGCUGAGAGACCAGUGCACCAACGAGAGGGGUUGCUGCUAAGAACUAUGGGCAUUCAACAGUUGAGGACAUCAAGGGUGGACACUGAUGGUAUAAGAUCAGCAAGAUGUCUUGAAAAAAGGAAGAAUGGUUGUGACUAAAAAGAUUAUCAUUGUUUUCCUAUGCGGAAAAGUGGAGAAGAUGACAAUUUGAGUAAAGAGAAGAGAAAAUCAAGAGCAUUGGCUGAAUCAAAGAAUAAUAAGGACCAGGCUUGGCUGAAGUGGAGCGUUUGGGCUGGAUGAAGAGAAGACAUGAGGAAACCGAGACAUUCAGGAGCUUAAGAGUUCUCACAACAAGGAAGAACCUGAACUGAGAUUCAAACUCAGGUAUGCUUGAUUCCAACAUCCAUUAACUUUUCACUAUGCCACACAGCCACACCAGAAUAUCUGCCUCACUCAACACGUACUCACACACCUUUGUGGCUUUCACGUGCUGUUCCCUUUGCCGGAAAAAGCCUCCAUCUGUCUCUUCUCUCUUCUUCUUUCUUUUCAUCCUCCUUUCCACGCACCAGGGAAAGGACAUAUACAGCUCAAUAUGAAAACUUCUGAUUUCCCCAGGCAGAGUUAGGUCACCCACUGUAGUCUCCUACGCAACCUUUUGCGUAUCUUUUGCUCCUUCUUGGCCAUUUGCUCCUUCGGCAUAGGAGUCUUAUCUUAUUUUUGUUUGCGUCUUCCAGGUCUAGAACAGUGCUUGGCUUAUAGCCAUUUCUUGAUAAAUAAUUGUUGAAUGGAAUUUUUAAAAGCAUGCUAACUUUUAUAAGUAAGAUUAUAUUCAGGCAUAUUAAUAAUUUUCACUGAAAUAAGCAAUUGAAAGAGUCAAAUGGUCGAAACAAUUGUCCAUGUAGAGUUUCAGAAAAUCUUCUGCAUGUGCCAGUUGUUUCAGGCCGCUCAUUCAUUCACUAUUCAGGCUUCUAUGUACAGAACAUCGUGUACUUCCACGAGGCACUCAUGCAUUUAGUCACUCAUUAAGAAAAUUAGCAGAUACAAAAAUCAACCAGUUUUAUGCUCAAUAGCACUGAAUUCUCUGUUUUUUUGUUUUGUUUUAUUUUUGUAAUCAAUAUUGUGAUUGAUGCUAUAGGUUAGCUAACUUGACACCCAUUCCCAGCCCCAUUCUUUCUUGGUUACCUUCACUAUGAAGGCUAUAAACACUAUACACUCAAUUUCUCAGCAUUCCUUGCAGAUAUGGGUAGUCAUAUGACACAGUGUUGGUCCAUGACACAUAAUUUGAAGUAUGCCAGCACAGUUUUGUAAGAAUUUCGUUCUCCUCUUUCAAGAAAGCACAGACAUAGCUGGCCUCACACCUGCCUUCCUUUCUCCUUGCUGUGAGCACAGACAUAAUGCCAGGAGCGACAGCAACCAUCCUGAAACUAUGAGAAACCAGCGUCGCGCUCAGCAUGGCAGAGUGUUAGGACAGAGAGAGCCUAAGCCCCUAGGAUGUGGUGGAGCUGCUGCAGAAGCCCCCAGGCAGCCCACGUCCAGACUUCCUCCCAAGGACAAAAGAGAGCCCUGUUUGUUUAAACCACUUUUGAUCAACUUUUCUCUCCCUGCAGCCAAAUGCAUUCCUAUAUGAUGCAAAUACAGUUUGACACUACAGGGUGCAAAUGACCUAAAAGGGGGAGGGGUCCCUAUUAUAGUUAAACAAAAAUAACAACAAUACUGUAACACACAGCCUAGAGGGCAGGGGUAUGGGUUUGUUUUUGUUUUAUUCACUGCAGUAUCUCCAGAACUUAGAACAGUGACUGGCACAUAGUAGGCAUUCAAUCAGUAUUCACUGGCUGAAUAAUGUUACUGUGUUGGGAGCUGCCCCCUAAAUUGUGUGUCCUUGACUCACUUCUGCAAGAUGCCUUUUCAGCUGUACACCUUCAUGGCUCUCUGAAACCUCACUCAGCUGCUAGAAGUGUCCGGAAGCAAAGGUCCAUGCAGCCUCAGAAGAAGUCAAAGAGAUGAAUCGCAGGAGCCCUCUACAUUUGAUGCUCACGGGACCAAGAUGCUCACGGGACCAAGAUGCUCACGGGACCAAGAUACUCACAGGACCAAGAUGCUCACGGGACCUGUGCUGCAAUACAAGCCUUCUUCGCCCAUCUAUUUACCUAAGGGCACAGGUGCUGUCAGAACUUUCUUGUUAAGAGUUACUUUAACUCACGUUGUUCAAAGGGUCAAUUUCUCCCAGGCGGAGCACUAGGGGUCUGGCGGAAGGAACUUUCCAAGUGCUGGCACUGAAACAGCAAUGCUUGUUCUGAGAGCGCUGAUAUUUAUUUUCCCCACUAGAGGACAGUGCUUGAAAGAAUAACAGCCCUUACCUCUGAGGUUAGGCAGCACCAAGGACUGGAACAAUCCCCUCAUUGUGACUUCCCUAACCCACGUGCAGAGCACAGAAAGAUUUUAUUUCUUUGGAGGAAAAAGGAGAAAUAAAUAUGUUUGCUCUAACAUGAUGCAGAAAGCAAUGAUGACACUGUCUUAACUGGCUUAGCACGAGAAAAGAGAAAUGCCAGUAAAUUUAGCAUUCAGAAUCACUAAGGAGCCAAUGAAAGAAGACAUCCUUGUAAACGGACGUGAAAUCCCUUUAAAGAAAGUCUUAAUGAGAGGCUAUUUGUUGAAGCCAUGACCAAGUGCUCAGAAAAAUAAUCUCUGUUGCUCUGAUUUGAUCAUCAUUAGAAUUUACUUUGGUGAACAAUUUAUUUCAAUAAACGUGCUUUUUUCUUCAUCA